AUUGAACGCUGGUGGCAGGCUUAACACAUGCAAGUCGAGCGGGCGAGGUUUCUUAGCUAACUGAGCUAGAUGCGGACGGGUGAGCAAAGGUUAGGAAUGUGCCUAUUAGUGGGGGUACACAUUGCGAAAGUGAUGAUAAUACCGCAUAUGUACUACGGGAGAAAGCAGGGGACUUUCGGGAUGUGUGAGAAUAGAUGAGCGUAAGUCGGAUUAGCUCGUCGGUGGGGUAAAGGCCUACCAAGACGACGAUCUGUAGCGGGUCUGAGAGGAUGAUCCGCCACACUGGGACUGAGACACGGCCCAGACUCCUACGGGAGGCAGCAGUGGGGAAUAUUGGACAAUGGGGGGAACCCUGAUCCAGCCAUGCCGCGUGUGUGAAGAAGGCCUUUUGGUUGUAAAGCACUUUAAGUGGGGAGGAGGCUCCCUUAGUUAAUACCUAAGAAGAGUGGACGUUACCCACAGAAUAAGCACCGGCUAACUCUGUGCCAGCCGCCGCGGUAA
rnacentral:rRNA from 1 species